UAGGGAAUAUUGCUCAAUGGGCGAAAGCCUGAAGCAGCAACGCCGCGUGUGCGAUGAAGGUCUUCGGAUCGUAAAGCACUUUUCUGAGAGAUGAGAAAGGACAGUAUCUCAGGAAUAAGUCUCGGCUAACUACGUGCCAGCAGCCGCGGUAACACGUAGGAGGCGAGCGUUAUCCGGAUUCACUGGGCGUAAAGCGCGUGCAGGCGGUUUGGUAAGUUGGGCGUGAAAGCUCCCGGCUCAACUGGGAGAGGUCGUUCAAUACUACCAGACUAGAGAGCAGAAGAGGAGGAACACCAGUGGCGACGGCGAUCUUCUGGUCUGUUUCUGACGCUCAGACACGACAGCUAGGGUAGUAAACGGGAUUAGAGACCCCGGUAAUCCUAGCCGUAAACGAUGUGAACUUGGCGUUGGUGGCUUAAACACCAUCAGUGCCGAAGCAAACGCGAUAAGUUCACCGCCUGGGGACUACGGCCGCAAGGUUA
rnacentral:rRNA from 1 species